rnacentral:antisense_RNA from 1 species
AGAAUGAGGUUCCACGACGGCAACGUUGUUGGGGCCUUUUUCUUUUCC